UGGGGAAUUUUGGACAAUGGGCGCAAGCCUGAUCCAGCCAUGCCGCGUGCGGGAAGAAGGCCUUCGGGUUGUAAACCGCUUUUGUCAGGGAAGAAAUCCUUUGGGUUAAUACCUCGGGGGGAUGACGGUACCUGAAGAAUAAGCACCGGCUAACUACGUGCCAGCAGCCGCGGUAAUACGUAGGGUGCAAGCGUUAAUCGGAAUUACUGGGCGUAAAGCGUGCGCAGGCGGUUUUGUAAGACAGAGGUGAAAUCCCCGGGCUUAACCUGGGAACUGCCUUUGUGACUGCAAAGCUUGAGUGCGGCAGAGGGGGAUGGAAUUCCGCGUGUAGCAGUGAAAUGCGUAGAUAUGCGGAGGAACACCGAUGGCGAAGGCAAUCCCCUGGGCCUGCACUGACGCUCAUGCACGAAAGCGUGGGGAGCAAACAGG
rnacentral:rRNA from 1 species